rnacentral:rRNA from 1 species
AGGUUACUGCUAUCGAGGUUCGACUAAGCCAUGCGAGUCGAAUGUAGCAAUACAUGGCGAACUGCUCAGUAACACGUGGACAACCUGCCCUUAGGACGGGGAUAAACCCGGGAAACUGGGUAUAAUACCCGAUAGGUCUCGAUUGCUGGAAUGCAUCGAGAUUUAAAGCUCCGGCGCCUAAGGAUGGGUCUGCGGCCUAUCAGGUAGUAGUGGGUGUAGCGUACCUACUAGCCUACGACGGGUACGGGUUGUGAGAGCAAGAGCCCGGAGAUGGAUUCUGAGACACGAAUCCAGGCCCUACGGGGUGCAGCAGGCGCGAAAACUUUACAAUGCUGGCAACAGCGAUAAGGGAACCUCGAGUGCCAGGUUACAAAUCUGGCUGUCGAGAUGCCUAAAAAGCAUUUCAUAGCAAGGGCCGGGCAAGACCGGUGCCAGCCGCCGCGGUAACACCGGCGGCUCGAGUGGUAACCGUUAUUAUUGGGUCUAAAGGGUCUGUAGCCGGCCGGAUAAGUCUCUUGAGAAAUCUGGCAGCUUAACUGUCAGGCUUUCAGGAGAUACUGUCUGGCUCGAGGCCGGGAGAGGUGAGAGGUACUUCAGGGGUAGGGGUGAAAUCUUGUAAUCCUUGAAGGACCACCAGUGGCGAAGGCGUCUCACCAGAACGGACCUGACGGCAAGGGACGAAAGCUAGGGGCACGAACCGGAUUAGAUACCCGGGUAGUCCUAGCCGUAAACGAUACUCGCUAGGUGUCGGCCACGGUGCGACCGUUGUCGGUG